rnacentral:lncRNA from 1 species
CCCCUUAUAGAAUCGAUUAUUGAUGGGAAGAUAUUAUUUAACUAUCCAAAAUAUUAUUUAAUUAUUUUCAGAAUUAUUUUCUUUCAAUGUUUAUUCAAAUAGAACUUAAACCCAUCUCAGAAUUUUUAAAUGCUUGAUGACGUCACAUUUAAAACGUGGCAACAUUGGUUUCCCCACUUUGACAGCCAAUGCUUAGUAGAGGGGUACGAAGGAUUCAGCUGUGAACGUGAGCCUUGGAUUGCCAUUGUUUCUCGAGUGUUCGGUCUGAAUCGUAGUGUGCGGGGUCAUUAGACUCAAUUAUUCACCUCUAAUUCUCAGUUCCAAAUUGAUUAAAUAUUACAAUAAAAGUAUAGUGAAGUUAUCCAGCAGCAGUGGAUUUGAAGAAUUUUAGAGCAUACUAUAUCCAAUGAGUUCUACCCCGCACCUACCAUGAAAUCUUAAAGCCACCCUACAACAACACCAAGGCCAGACCACACAGAGAGAAACAAUCAAUAGGCGACCAGCCUGGAUUAUUUCCACAUUUUCUUUUUUUUGAGUACCUCCAGCUGCUUUCCAACAGUUUUGAGUACCUUCAGCUGCUUUCUACCAGUCUUCCUCUCCUGUACCUCCAGCAGGACAGCUGCUAGCGAGAGUUAGCACCCUUGGGUGCUCAUUACAUCAACUUCAAGAUUAGGAAAGAGUGGUUUGUUUGGGAACAUUUACUGUGCUCUUAUUAAAGACAGACUGGUUUUGUGAUAUUUAGUACAUUUUUUUUUAUAGUUCAAUUGCACACACAAUUUUCCUGCUUUAUAUUUUUUAUAGGUUUUUUUUCUUUACAACAUAAUAUUUAAUUGAUAGCGUUCCCCAACACUCUGCAAUCUAUAAAGGUAUAAAUUUCUGAGCUCAGAUAUUUUCCCUGAUAAUAGUAGUCGGUACUCUUAUCUUGAUUAUUUUUAGGCUGUGUUCCACUUUUGUAGAAUUAUUUAAACUCAUUCCAUUAUUUUAGUAUAUGUUUAAUUAAAUUUUUAAAAAUUAACUUCACAUAUUAGUCAAAAUUGUAAUUAUUAACUUUAUUUAACUUGAACUUAUUAACUUUACUUAACUUUAACUUAUUAACUUUAUUUAACUUUAACUUUAAUUUAUUAAAUUCAUAUGAACUUCUGGAUUCUAAUCCCUCAGAUUAGUUUUUGGUUUCACUUGUUAUUAUUACUAUUAUAAACCACGAGUUAGGAAAAGGAUCUGUGUAUCCACUCGUAGGUUUAUUUAUUCAAUAAGGCUUGUGCCUGUCCCACUCACAGUGAGGUAUUUAUAUGUUAUAUAUAGUAUCAGGUAGUAUUUAAUUAAGGUGUACGUAUUAUAAACGUACAAUUAUUAUUUGGUGAGGGUUCUACUAACCUAGUUGUAAGUUGUACUUCCUGUAUUAGAGGUACCCGUAGUCAGUUUUUCUAACCUUAUAAAGAGUAUUCUUAGAUCAUAGUUGUAUGAUGAUUUUGUAAUUGACUUUCACUAGUAUCACUUUUUCCUGUCAUGUUAGAGUUACACACUAGUUACUUGUCCUAACUCAGAGAUUGUUAAAAAGAUCUAGUAGUUACAUUCAAUAAAUAUACAUUUAUUGUGA